CAGGAAAUAAUGCAGGGAAGCCAUCUGGUAUGAGCUUUCCGCAUGCGUUUUCAGGGUCAGACCUGAUGCCUAAGGUAGGAAGAGCUGCAGAUGUUUGUGGGAGUUCUAAACCCAAGGAGUCAAAGGCAGAAAAUGCUGCUGGAAUCAGUGAGGGUUCUAAACCACAUGAGAAAGUGAAUGGGCAUGUGGAUGUGGAAGCUGGGAAAGGAGGUGUGCCAGUGUCGAAGCCAGAUGCGACAAAAUCUAAGGUGCCAGGAAGUAUUGCAAGUAGCAAGAGACGGAGGAAGUCAGUGGCGGAAUCCAGUGAGAA
rnacentral:misc_RNA from 1 species